CAACUAACAGAGAACUAUAAGAACACAGGACCAGCUGACAGAGAACUAUAAGAACACAAGACCAACAAACAGAGAACUAUAAGAACACAGGACCAACUAACAGAGAACUAUAAGAACACAGGACCAGCUAACAGAGAACUAUAAGAACACAGGACCAGCUAACAGAGCGGUAUAAGAACACAGGACCAACUAACAGAGAACUAUAAGAACACAGGACCAGCUAACAGAGAACUAUAAGAACACAGGACCAGCUAACAGAGAACUAUAAGAACACAGGACCAGCUAACAGAGCGGUAUAAGAACACAGGACCAACUAACAGAGAGCUAUAAGAACACAGGACCAGCUGACAGAGCGGUAUAAGAACACAGGACCAGCUAACAGAGAACUAUAAGAACACAGGACCAGCUAACAGAGCGGUAUAAGAACACAGGACCAAAUAACAGAGAACUAUAAGAACACAGGACCAGCUGACAGAGAACUAUAAGAACACAGGACCAGCUGACAGAGAACUAUAAGAACACAGGACCAGCUGACAGAGCGCUAUAAGAACACAGGACCAGCUAACAGAGCGCUAUAAGAACACAGGACCACUAACAGAGAGCUAUAAGAACACAGGACCAGCUAACAGAGCGGUAUAAGAACACAGGACCAGCUAACAGAGAGCUAUAAGAACACAG
rnacentral:lncRNA from 1 species